rnacentral:rRNA from 1 species
GUCAACUAGUUGUUCGUGUCUCUGAGACGUGAGUAACGCAGCUAACGCACUAAGUUGACCGCCUGGGGAGUACGGCCGCAAGGUUAAAACUCAAAUGAAUUGACGGGGGCCCGCACAAGCGGUGGAGCAUGUGGUUUAAUUCGAUGCAACGCGAAGAACCUUACCAUCCCUUGACAUCCAGAGAAUUUUCUAGAGAUAGAUUAGUGCCUUCGGGAACUCUGAGACAGGUGCUGCAUGGCUGUCGUCAGCUCGUGUUGUGAGAUGUUGGGUUAAGUCCCGCAACGAGCGCAACCCUUAUCCUUAGUUGCCAGCACUAAGGUGGGAACUCUAGGGAGACUGCCGGUGAUAAACCGGAGGAAGGUGGGGACGACGUCAAGUCAUCAUGGCCCUUACGGGAUGGGCUACACACGUGCUACAAUGGCGCACACAAAGGGCAGCAAGCGCGCGAGUGCAAGCGAAUCUCAAAAAGUGCGUCGUAGUCCGGAUUGGAGUCUGCAACUCGACUCCAUGAAGUCGGAAUCGCUAGUAAUCGUGGAUCAGAAUGCCACGGUGAAUACGUUCCCGGGCCUUGUACACACCGCCCGUCACACCAUGGGAGUGGGCUGCACCAGAAGUAGAUAGCUUAACCUUCGGGGGGGCGUUUACCACGGUGUGGUUCAUGACUGGGGUG